UGUUCUUGUCGCCACAACUCAGCCGUUGUACUGAUGACGUGGAGGUUAAAAUAGUUUGGGAAAUUACCGCAGGACAAAUAUAAGUAGUCUGACUUGCAAGUAGACAUCAGUCUCCUGCCUCAGGUAUCCACACAGUAGAUGGCGCCACUCAUGGGACUAACUGCUGUCGACAGUACAGUCAUCGUCAUCAUCAUCAUCAUCAUCGCCCUCAGCACCAGUAACAUCAUCACGGUGAAUGAACAGGAGCAAGUCAAGCACGAACCCAGUAAAGGCUGCACAAGCUCAUCUAAUAAAAAUUCGGUGUCGUGGGUGAUCAUACUGGUUGUUGAUGCCGUCGUGCUCCAGGCAGUCGUCUCAUCACAUCAACGUUUAUCGUGCGAGUGAUUUCUCUACGGACGUCACAUGUGUACAGCGGUCGUCAGGGCUGACCACAGGCCGGCGCCAUGUUUCCAAACGCUGCGGGGAAGAGUUGCCCUAGCAACAACCAACACACUUCUACACAAAUCAUCCAAACAGUUGACAUUUAGAGGUCACGCAGCUCAAACAAAGCGUGUCGUGUCCAUACUGAGUAGAAGAUGGUCUACAUGUAGUGCUGCUUUGCUGUUACUAAUAUAACUUCGCCAAAGAUCAUCUUUAAAGCUACACUGGUAGGCCUUUGCACGUAUUAAAUAAUCUGUCAAGGAUUGAGAAUAUGUCAACACGCUGACGACACUGUCAGUCAUCUUGUGAUGUACUGUCAUCUACCUGCACCAUAGUGACAGGGGCGAUAAAGCCUGCCUCUCAGAUUGUGCCUGUCUACUGUGUACAUAUAUUUAUAUACUGCUGUUGUACUUGUUAACGGGUGUGCCCGUGUCUGUCUACUCUGUGUGUGUGUGUGUGCUGCUAUUGUACAUGGUAAUGGGGUAGGCCAGUGCCUGUCUAUUGUCUAUAUAUAUAUAGAUAUAUACUGCUAUUGUACAUGGUAAGAGGGUAGGCCCGUGGCUGUCUAUUGUGUAUAUAUAUAUAUACUGCUAUUGUACAUGGUAAUGGGGUAGGCUAGUGCCUGUCUAUUGUAUAUAUAUACUGCUAUUACACAUGUCUGUCUACUGCAUGUGGUACUAUUGAAUCAUUGCCAUUGUAAUGGGGUAUGCCCGUGGCUGUCUAUUGUGUGUGUGUGUAUAUAUACUGUGUAUAUAUACUAUUGUGUGUAUAUACUAUUGUGUAUAUAUACUAUUGUGUGUAUAUAUAUAUACUGCUAUUGUGCAUGGUAAUGGGGUAGGCCAGUGGCUGUCUAUUGUGUGUAUACAUGUAUAUAUAUUUACUGCUAUUGUACAUGGUAAGAGGUAUGGCCGUGUCUGUCUACUGUGUACCCCUACAUGCAAGGACAACAGGCUGAGGCUACUUUUAGAUACUAAUGCUACUAUGUGUGAAUGAAUGUUAAUGAUGUCUAUUGUAUAAACAUUUGAUGGUAUUGUUGAUUGAUGUUACUGCACUCUGUGCUUAUAACCCUUGUUUUCUGAUAAAGCUGCUACUAACUGCCUUCUGGGAUAAACGAGCUGUAUAUUAUGAUAUGCAUCAAGUUCGUAACAAUAUCAGAGUAACCCUCUCAAACACUCGACACAGGUGUUGACAGGUGUUGACAGCUGUCAUUUUGGCAUUUCCAAUGUCCAUGACUGUCAUGCCAUGCACUAUCACGGAUUAAAUAUUUAAAUACUUGCUUAUAAUUUUAAAUACUUAUUUAUAGAAGAUUAGUACUUUCUUUAUCACUAAACAAUAACAUACCUUACGAUGAUAUUCAAAUAUGAAUCUGUUUUAUUCACGCUGAGUAUCAGGGUUAUGGAGGCCGCCAUUGUAACAGAUUCACACCUCACAAUGCUGAAAAGUUAAGAAAAACGGAUUGUGAUAAAAAUGUUUUUCAUUAUUCAUUGUAAUUUAUGCAUUAUCAAAAUGUGUUUAGCCCGCGGACCAGGUAAGCCGCGGUUAAUGUUUGGACCCCAACCACCGCGACUUAAUGGCCGACAUUGCACUCAGCAGCAAAGUCAACAAAUCAUGACAAGCAAACACUCACACAUCAGUGGUCUAAGUCUAUACACAGUGAGUUUUAAAUUCUGCAAACGUAUUUAUUAGUUCUCAAUGUUUACAUAUAUAUAUACUUCAAUUAUCGUUUGGAUGAAUAAGCAGAGCCAUGGUGCUGUUGUCACCUGCCCAUUGCUGUGUGUUACCUGUGUGCACGUGCUCACCUUUAGUGUCAGGUCCUCUGAGGUUUGUCACAUUCAAUGCUUGAAGUCAGCUCAUGAAGACAACACUAUAUUUAGACAUACAACCAUGUCGUCACUUCCUGCUUUCUUGACUAUUCCAGGUGUGAUAAAGAGAAAGAAGUAUUAAAUUUUUCGUUCCUCUUUGUCAUAAAUUACCACCAGAAUAUAAUUUUGUGAUACUUUGUGCUCUACUUCCAUCGAUGUUUGCUGAGCGCUCGACUUAACCUUUGACACCCUGUGUGUGCAUGUCUACGUGUUCUCGUUCUUAUCGAGUGUUUGUACCAACACUCACCAGCUUCAAAGUAAAGCAGGUGUCAAGAAGGUGUAAGGUCUUUUAUUGUAGAGGUUUCUCCAUCGCAAUGUUCUUAGUGAUGAGCUCCAGUGGGACUGACUAGUAUUCUUCACUGAUCGCCUUGUGAUGUGACAACAAUUAUUUCUUUGAUGACUAACAUUGUGUUCACUUGUUGUCAAUCAUUAAUAAUUGAACAGUAGACAAUUUGUAUCAAAGAAUGUAAAAAUAAAUGUGAAAACAAU
rnacentral:misc_RNA from 1 species